rnacentral:rRNA from 1 species
UACGAAGGGGGCUAGCGUUGUUCGGAAUUACUGGGCGUAAAGCGCGCGCAGGCGGCUAUCCAAGUCAGUGGUGAAAGCCCGGAGCUCAACUCCGGAACUGCCAUUGAAACUGUUUAGCUUGAGGAUGAGAGAGGUGAGUGGAAUUCCCAGUGUAGAGGUGAAAUUCGUAGAUAUUGGGAAGAACACCGGUGGCGAAGGCGGCUCACUGGACACAUAUUGACGCUGAGGUGCGAAAGCGUGGGGAGCAAACAGG